GGGGGCGACCUGGCUUCGACGCCGGUAAUGAAACCUUGAGUGCAUGUCGAGUACCGUUGCAAUUCUCGUAAAUCCGUUGCAGCAAAUAAAGAUAGUCGCAAACGACGAAUCUUACGCUCUAGCAGCUUAACAGCCAGCUAGCCAUUGACCAAUUAUUGCUUGUGGUGGUCGGAUUUCAAUGGUCAAAUUACACAAGAUCGCAACAAAGCGUGUCUGUAGCCGCGUUGUUAAAACCUAACAGACUCAGCUUGUAACGCCCUGCCUUUCGGGCCGUUAUCGGUUAACUUAAUAGAAAUGGCUAUGCAUGUAGAUCGCAAGGCAGAGUGCUGACGGACGCGGGUUCGAUUCCCGCCGCCUCCACCA
rnacentral:tmRNA from 1 species